CCUACGGGAGGCAGCAGUGGGGAAUAUUGCACAAUGGGGGAAACCCUGAUGCAGCGACGCCGCGUGAAGGAAGAAGUAUUUCGGUAUGUAAACUUCUAUCAGCAGGGAAGAAAAUGACGGUACCUGACUAAGAAGUCCCGGCUAACUACGUGCCAGCUGCCGCGGUAAUACGGAGGGGGCAAGCGUUAUCCGGAUUUACUGGGGGUAAAGGGAGCGUAGGAGGUUUCGCAAGUCAGAAUUGAAAGCCCGGGGCUCAACUCCGGGACUGCUUUUGAAACUGUUGAACUAGAUUGCAGGAGAGGUAAUUGGAAUUCCUCGUGUAGCGGUGAAAUGCGUAGCUAUUAGGAGGAACCCCAGUGGCGACGGCGGCUUACUGGACUGUACAUGACGCUGAGGCUCGAAAGCGUGGGGAGCAAACAGGAUUAGAUACCCGAGUAGUC
rnacentral:rRNA from 1 species